rnacentral:rRNA from 1 species
CUAAGGCUCCGGAGGAAGCCACGGCUAACUCUGUGCCAGCAGCCGCGGUAAUACAGAGGCGGCAAGCGUUGUUCGGAAUUAUUGGGCGUAAAGAGCACGUAGGCGGCCUUGCAAGUCAGUUGUGAAAGCCUUCCGCUUAACGGAAGAAUGCCAGCUGAUACUACAGGGCUUGAGUACGGGAGGGGAGAGUGGAACUUCUGGUGGAGCGGUGAAAUGCGUAGAUAUCAGAAGGAACGCCGGCGGCGAAAGCGACUCUCUGGCCCGAAACUGACGCUGAGUGUGCGAAAGCUAGGGGAGCAAACGGGAUUAGAUACCCCGGUAGUCCUAGCCGUGGA